GAUGAACGCUGGCGGCGUGCCUAAUAUAUGCAAGUCGAGCGAACGGACGAGAAGCUUGCUUCUCUGAUGUUAGCGGCGGACGGGCGAGUAACACGUGGAUAACCUACCUAUAAGACUGGGAUAACUUCGGGAAACCGGAGCUAAUACCGGAUAAUAUUUUGAACCGCAUGGUUCAAAAGUGAAAGACGGUCUUGCUGUCACUUAUAGAUGGAUCCGCGCUGCAUUAGCUAGUUGGUAAGGUAACGGCUUACCAAGGCAACGAUGCAUAGCCGACCUGAGAGGGUGAUCGGCCACACUGGAACUGAGACACGGUCCAGACUCCUACGGGAGGCAGCAGUAGGGAAUCUUCCGCAAUGGGCGAAAGCCUGACGGAGCAACGCCGCGUGAGUGAUGAAGGUCUUCGGAUCGUAAAACUCUGUUAUUAGGGAAGAACAUAUGUGUAAGUAACUGUGCACAUCUUGACGGUACCUAAUCAGAAAGCCACGGCUAACUACGUG
rnacentral:rRNA from 1 species